GCUGCCUUGUUCUAUAUAAAUGUUUCUAACAUGCAGGUAACAUUUAUAUAUGUAUUAGUUUGAAUAAAUCAUUUUAAUAAAGUUACAUUAUAGGCAGGAAUGUUUGACUGGAAAUAUAAACAAUGUUGUACAUAAUGCAGAUAGCUUAGGCAAAAAAGAGAUUGGUGAAAUGGAGAAUGAGACUAACUAGGGUGAAAAAAAAUGAAUAUUAAUAUGUGAAUGGUACUUUGUUUAACAUCUACCUGUUUCUACAGAUACAGUACAGACGCAUUUAUAAAUGGGCUUGAUGUUUUUUUGAAUUAAAUAUGUUGUAUUGA